AAGAAGGGCAACAAAGCUGGUGAGGGGUCUGGAGCACAGGCUUUAUGAGGAGCGGCUGAAGGAGCUGGGAUUGUUCAGUCUGGAGAAGAGGAGGCUCAGGGGAGACCUUGUUGCUCUCUAUAACUACCUGAAGAGAGGUUGUAGUGAGCUGGGGGUCGGCCUCUUCUCUUGUGUGACUAGUGAUAGGACGAGAGGGAAUGGCUUCAAGCUGCACCAGGGAAGAUUCAGGCUGGACGUUAGGAAAUACUACUUCUCUGAAAGGGUGGUCAGGCACUGGAAUGGGCUGCCCAGAGAGGUGGUGGAGUCACCGACCCUGGUGGUGUUCAGAGAGCGUUUGGACGUUGUGUUGAGGGACAUGGUUUAGCGAGAACCACUGGUGAUGGGCGAAUGGUUGGACUGGAUGAUCCUGUGGGUCUUUUCCAACCUUGGUGAUUCUAUGAUUGUAUGAUUCUUUGAAUAUUGAACCUCUGUUUACUUUUGAUUUCUUUCUAUCACUAUAGAUUAAUGCAUAUACCCCAAGUCUUCCCAGAAAACUCCUCUUGGACCACUUUUAUUAUGUAGAUUGGUAAGUGCCAAUAUUCUGUUCUUCUUUACCAGAAAGUAUUAC
ensembl:lncRNA